rnacentral:rRNA from 1 species
UACAGAGGGGGCAAGCGUUGUUCGGAAUUACUGGGCGUAAAGGGCGCGUAGGCGGCCCGCUAAGUCGAACGUGAAAUCCCUGGGCUCAACCCAGGAACUGCGUCCGAUACUGGUGGGCUUGAAUCCGGGAGAGGGAUGUGGAAUUCCAGGUGUAGCGGUGAAAUGCGUAGAUAUCGGGAGGAACACCAAUUGCGAAGGCAGCUCGCUGGGACGGUACUGACGCUGAGGCGCGAAAGCGUGGGGAGCAAACAGG